UGAUCAUGGCUCAGGACGAACGCUGGCGGCGUGCUUAACACAUGCAAGUCUACGAGAAAGAGGUAGCAAUAUCUUGAUUAAAGUGGCGCACGGGUGAGUAACACGUAAGCAAUCUACCUGUUGAUUUGGAAUAACUUCGAGAAAUCGAGGCUAAUACCGUAUAAUGCAGCGGCACCGCAUGGUGAUGUUGUUAAAGUUGCAGCAAUGUAACGUCAAUAGAUGAGCUUGCGUCUGAUUAGCUAGUUGGUGAGGUAACGGCUCACCAAGGCUACGAUCAGUAGCUGGUCUGAGAGGAUGAUCAGCCACACUGGAACUGAGACACGGUCCAGACUCCUACGGGAGGCAGCAGUGAGGAAUAUUGGGCAAUGCCCGCAAGGGUGACCCAGCAACGCCGCGUGGAGGAUGAAGGUCGUAAGAUUGUAAACUCCUGUUAGAGGGGACGAAUAGCUGUGAUUCGUAAGGAUCAU
rnacentral:rRNA from 1 species